rnacentral:lncRNA from 1 species
GGGUGGACGGUCUAGAUGUGGAACAAGCUAUUUAAUGGCGGAGUUAAGAGUGUUUAGGGGCUACCAUUUUGAUAUGACUCAAAUUACCCUAAGGAGUGAAUUACUCUCUCAAAUAAGAGGUUCGGAUGUAAUACUUAGGGAUCGAAUCCACAGAGACUCUAGGAUUACACAAUAGAUUUAUAGUAUUCGAAUUAAGGCUAGAUUAAAUGAUUUAUAGGUUUUAAAGCACUAAAUUAAUUGGUGAGCAAAAUAAUUGCUCAAUUGAUUUGAUUUGAGGUUGUUAACAGUUGGGAGAAUAGCUAGAUUUAAGUAUGUUCUCAGGUAUGAUAAGUAAUACUUAAGUUGGGUCUUUAGGAGUUUUAUUGAUAUUAAUUGUUCUUGAAUUCAAACUAAGAUAUAAUCAUUCUGAUUAUCUAAUCUGGAUCUCAGAUUUCAACUAUCGUAUGUUAAUCGCGAGAAAGUGUCGAUCGAUCGAUACACCUUUCAAAAUAUCGAUCGACAGAGCUGUCGCUGCGUCGAUCGAUGCUUCUUCCAGAAAGCUUUACGGAC